UGGGGAAUAUUGCACAAUGGGCGAAAGCCUGAUGCAGCGACGCCGCGUGAGGGAUGACGGCCUUCGGGUUGUAAACCUCUUUCAGCAGGGACGAAGCGCAAGUGACGGUACCUGCAGAAGAAGCACCGGCUAACUACGUGCCAGCAGCCGCGGUAAUACGUAGGGUGCAAGCGUUGUCCGGAAUUACUGGGCGUAAAGAGUUCGUAGGCGGUUUGUCGCGUCGUUUGUGAAAACCAGCAGCUCAACUGCUGGCUUGCAGGCGAUACGGGCAGACUUGAGUACUGCAGGGGAGACUGGAAUUCCUGGUGUAGCGGUGAAGUGCGCAGAUAUCAGGAGGAACACCGGUGGCGAAGGCGGGUCUCUGGGCAGUAACUGACGCUGAGGAACGAAAGCGUGGGUAGCGAACAGG
rnacentral:rRNA from 1 species